UGGUCUAGUGCGUGGAGAAGCUCCCGGG
rnacentral:piRNA from 1 species